CAGAGCUCCUAGCAGGGGUCAAUAGACAAACCUUCUUGCCCUUGCACACCUUAUCACAUGUGACUUUUCUCUUCCAAUCUCCUCUCUGGCCAAAAUGAUCAGUUUGUUCAGCAGUCAUGUGCUGAGAGUCUACUUUGCACCAGGCACCGUGACCUUUAUCUCCACAGCCCUGGGAAGUUGAUGCCUUUAAGCUCAUUUGAUUCAAGAGGCCACUGUGGCUUGGAGAGAGAAUAAGGGUUAGAAGGCUACCAGCCGGUAGAGCCAGGAGUUGAUGCUGGGUCUUCAAGAACUAAUGGGAACCCCAUUCCAUGGGCUUCCGUGGAUGGUUUCUCUGCCUGGAAUGUCCUCCCACCUCUUCUCUUUUCUGGAUCAUUCAGGGUCUCAUUCCUUCUGUUGCCUCCAGAACACCUUCCGAAUCAGUGAGGACACUUGUGGUUGCGUGUGAAUCACUGCGAAAGUCGAGGCUCUAGGUUGAGCUUUUAGGAGCGUCCCCGUAAGUCACAUUGAGGACUGUGUCUUCUGUAUCUUCUGCAAGAGACCAAGAGAGCAGCUGUGUCUUCUGCAUUCAGAAGACACCCCAGUCGUGAAACCCUCUUCCAGCAGCUCCAGAAGCACGGUGUGCCUGACAUGAUCCAGGCACACUGGGUGCCCACGUCCUUCCUCUCAACACCCACCAAGCCAGCACCUGGACCCUUGAGUUUUGCUGACACCAUUGAGAAAAUGUCAACCUACUGAAAAAUUAGAAGAGGAAUACAAUGAGCACCUAUGAACGUUUCACCUAGAUUCGUCAACCAUUGACAUUUUGCCACAUUUGCUUUCUUUCCCUCUCUCUUACAGGAAGUUAGUUGCAAGUUUGCUGACGAUUUCCUCUGACCAGAUGAGCUAUUAUCUCACAAAAGCAAGGACGGUCUCCUCUAUUAUCACUAUUAUCACACUCAAUAAAUUUAAAUUGAUGCAA